CGGUUUUUAAGCGAAGCUGUAGGAAACGACAGAGCGCCCGGAGCAUCCGGCUCGACUCUGCUCACAUGCUCUGUCCAACAGGAGUGCAUCCCUCAAGCCAUGCGGUGUAUGGACAUCCUGUGCCAGUGUGAUCCGAGCACAAGCAUCCAGUUGUAGAGACUACAGCAGAUCGAGCCUGUGGAUGGACAGUCCAACUGGACUGCAUCCCUCAGACCAUCCAGUGCAUGGACGUCCUGUGCCAGUGUGAUCCGUGCGUGAGCGUCCAGUUGUGGAGACGACAGCACAUCGAGCCUGUGGACGGACAGACAUCAGGCUCACCCCACGAGAAGCAGUGCAUGAUCAACGCCACCCUCCGCAAGGAGAUCUGCUGGAAGUGAUGUACUCUCACUCUGGGGUACAGGCAGGUAUGACUGGGGCCUUCAGCAAGUAAGACACAGGGGGUACUGACAGGAGGAGCAAUAUGAGUAUGUCAGAUGUCGUCAGUCUGGAUGGGGAUGGUGAUGGAGGCUUUGGUGGUCCACACAUUGAAGAAGCAGGUGUCCCUUCCAGUGAUGUGGAGCUGACCUUGGACCUGGUGCCAGUAAGGAUGGUCUUCACGGAGGUGGUAAGACCCUCCCUCCUUGAUAUAGAAAUCCUUUG